UUGUGUUUCUGUUUAAAGACACCUUAUUUAAUAUAUAUUAACAUUAAUAACAGCCAACAGCCCUAAAACUCAUGCCUAAACCAAGCUUAUCUAACACACGUAUUUUCUCUGUAAGGCACAUCACAGCCUUCUUGCUCUUAGGAACACUAGCCAGCACGAAAUCACUGUGCUUGGGGCCUUUUCAACAGCAAAAUCAACAGGAAGCACAAAAAUGUGGCAAAAUGACACUAACUAGACCAUGCUAAGGAAGCUUGUUCACAGCGUGAGCCAAAACAAGAAGGCCGAGCAUCGCCUUGUUCCACCUCAGCUGGGAACGUGCAUUUGAGCAACUCAAAUCUUGUGUCACUCAUGCAUGCCUGUGAAUUACCUCAAAAGCACUAGUCACUUUGCAGGGGUUGGCGAAGCUGCUCCCAUCCACGUACAGCUCCUAGUCUACUGAUGUUUAAGGUCUCCAAGGAAUGCUGUUUCCUGCCUGUCGUGAGAGACACAAAGUGAACUUAGUGUUGGGAGAUGGAAGCUGGAUGGCUCUCAGGGGCUGACCCGCAGGGUGCCGGACUUCGGGAUAUAGCAGAGAGAGCUUGGCAUGACUUAUUACUCCAGGCUGUAGAAUCCUGGAAAAGAGCUACCAU
rnacentral:lncRNA from 1 species